rnacentral:rRNA from 1 species
GUUAAGCGACUAAGCGUACACGGUGGAUGCCCUGGCAGUCAGAGGCGAUGAAGGACGUGCUAAUCUGCGAUAAGCGUCGGUAAGGUGAUAUGAACCGUUAUAACCGGCGAUUUCCGAAUGGGGAAACCCAGUGUGUUUCGACACACUAUCAUUAACUGAAUCCAUAGGUUAAUGAGGCGAACCGGGGGAACUGAAACAUCUAAGUACCCCGAGGAAAAGAAAUCAACCGAGAUUCCCCCAGUAGCGGCGAGCGAACGGGGAGCAGCCCAGAGCCUGAAUCAGUGUGUGUGUUAGUGGAAGCGUCUGGAAAGGCGCGCGAUACAGGGUGACAGCCCCGUACACAAAAAUGCACAUGCUGUGAGCUCGAUGAGUAGGGCGGGACACGUGGUAUCCUGUCUGAAUA